GGGCUCGUGGUCUAGUGGUAUGAUUCACGCUUAGGGUUCUACUCAGAUGUGUGAGGUCCCGGGUUCAAUCCCCGGCGAGCCCC